rnacentral:rRNA from 1 species
CCUACGGGAGGCAGCAGUGGGGAAUCUUGCGCAAUGGGCGAAAGCCUGACGCAGCCAUGCCGCGUGAAUGAUGAAGGUCUUAGGAUUGUAAAAUUCUUUCAGUAGGGACGAUAAUGACGGUACCUACAGAGGAAGCCCCGGCUAACUUCGUGCCAGCAGCCGCGGUAAUACGAAGGGGGCUAGCGUUGCUCGGAAUUACUGGGCGUAAAGGGAGCGUAGGCGGACAUUUAAGUCAGGGGUGAAAUCCCAGAGCUCAACUCUGGAACUGCCUUUGAUACUGGGUGUCUUGAGUGUGAUAGAGGUAUGUGGAACUCCGAGUGUAGAGGUGAAAUUCGUAGAUAUUCGGAAGAACACCAGUGGCGAAGGCGACAUACUGGAUCAUUACUGACGCUGAGGCUCGAAAGCGUGGGGAGCAAACAGGAUUAGAUACCCUGGUAGUCCACGCCGUAAACGAUGAUGNUAGUUGUCGGUAGUAGUUACUAUCUCGUGACGCAGACUACGACAUAAGUACACUCCGCCGUCGGGGUAGGUACGGUCGGCGAAGUAAGUUAAACGUUAAACGUUAAGUUAAGUUAGUUACGGUUCGUGAGACGUUCGCCGACGGACGACGACGAGGGAGGAGG